AGGAAGGUGGGGAUGACGUCAAGUCAUCAUGGCCCUUACGGCCUGGGCUACACACGUGCUACAAUGGUCGGUACAAAGGGUUGCCAAGCCGCGAGGUGGAGCUAAUCCCAUAAAACCGAUCGUAGUCCGGAUCGCAGUCUGCAACUCGACUGCGUGAAGUCGGAAUCGCUAGUAAUCGUGAAUCAGAAUGUCCACGGUCGAAUACGUUCCGGGCCUU
rnacentral:rRNA from 1 species